GACGAACGCUGGCGGCGUGCUUAACACAUGCAAGUCGAACGGAAAGGCCCUGCUUUUGUGGGGUGCUCGAGUGGCGAACGGGUGAGUAACACGUGAGUAACCUGCCCUUGACUUUGGGAUAACUUCAGGAAACUGGGGCUAAUACCGGAUAGGAGCUCCUGCUGCAUGGUGGGGGUUGGAAAGUUUCGGCGGUUGGGGAUGGACUCGCGGCUUAUCAGCUUGUUGGUGGGGUAGUGGCUUACCAAGGCUUUGACGGGUAGCCGGCCUGAGAGGGUGACCGGCCACAUUGGUACUGAGAUACGGCCCAGACUGCUACGGGAGGCAGCAGUGGGGAAUAUUGCACAAUGGGCGGAAGCCUGAUGCAGCAACGCCGCGUGCGGGAUAACGGCCUUCGGGUUGUAAACCGCUUUCGCCUGUGACGAAGCGUGAGUGACGGUAAUGGGUAAAGAAGCACCGGCUAACUACGUG
rnacentral:rRNA from 1 species